rnacentral:rRNA from 1 species
AUUGAACGCUGGCGGCAAGCCUAACACAUGCAAGUCGAACGAGUGGCGGACGGGUGAGUAAUGUCUGGGAAACUGCCUGAUGGAGGGGGAUAACUACUGGAAAAGGGAGCUAAUACCGCAUAACAUAGGAUGUGACCAGAUGGGAUUAGCUAGUAGGUGGGGUAAAGGCUCACCUAGGCGACGAUCCCUAGCUGGUCUAAGAGGUAGAGCAGCCACACUGGAACUGAGACACGGUCCAGACUCCGACGGGAGUCAGCAGUGGGGAAUAUUGCACAAUGGGCGCAAGCCUGAUGCAGCCAUGCCGCGUGUAUGAAGAAGGCCUUCGGGUUUUAAAGUACUUUCAGCGGGGAGGCGUUACCCGCAGAAGAAGCACCGGCUAACUCCGUGCCAGCAGCCGCGGUAAUAC